GAUGAACGCUGGCGGCGUGCUUAACACAUGCAAGUCGAACGGGAAUUAUUUUAUUGAAACUUCGGUCGAUUUAAUUUAAUUCUAGUGGCGGACGGGUGAGUAACGCGUGGGUAACCUGCCUUAUACAGGGGAAUAACAGUCAGAAAUGGCUGCUAAUACCGCAUAAGCGCACAGAGCUGCAUGGCUCAGUGUGAAAAACUCCGGUGGUAUAAGAUGGACCCGCGUUGGAUUAGCUUGUUGGUGGGGUAACGGCCCACCAAGGCGACGAUCCAUAGCCGGCCUGAGAGGGUGAACGGCCACAUUGGGACUGAGACACGGCCCAGACUCCUACGGGAGGCAGCAGUGGGGAAUAUUGCACAAUGGGGGAAACCCUGAUGCAGCGACGCCGCGUGAAGGAAGAAGUAUCUCGGUAUGUAAACUUCUAUCAGCAGGGAAGAUAGUGACG
rnacentral:rRNA from 1 species